rnacentral:rRNA from 1 species
CUCAAAUGAAUUGACGGGGGCCCGCACAAGCGGAGGAACAUGUGGUUUAAUUCGAUGAUACGCGAGGAACCUUACCCGGGCUUGAAUUGCAGAGGAACAUAGUUGAAAGAUUAUGGCCGCAAGGUCUCUGUGAAGGUGCUGCAUGGUUGUCGUCAGCUCGUGCCGUGAGGUGUCGGCUUAAGUGCCAUAACGAGCGCAACCCUUAUCAUUAGUUACUAACAGGUCAUGCUGAGGACUCUAGUGAGACUGCCGUCGUAAGAUGUGAGGAAGGUGGGGAUGACGUCAAAUCAUCACGGCCCUUAC